rnacentral:rRNA from 1 species
GUGGGGAAUUUUGGACAAUGGGCGAAAGCCUGAUCCAGCAAUGCCGCGUGUGUGAAGAAGGCCUUCGGGUUGUAAAGCACUUUUGUCCGGAAAGAAAUCCUUUGGGUUAAUACCUCGGAGGGAUGACGGUACCGGAAGAAUAAGGACCGGCUAACUACGUGCCAGCAGCCGCGGUAAUACGUAGGGUCCGAGCGUUAAUCGGAAUUACUGGGCGUAAAGCGUGCGCAGGCGGUUUUGUAAGACAGGCGUGAAAUCCCCGGGCUCAACCUGGGAAUUGCGCUUGUGACUGCAAGGCUGGAGUGCGGCAGAGGGGGAUGGAAUUCCGCGUGUAGCAGUGAAAUGCGUAGAUAUGCGGAGGAACACCGAUGGCGAAGGCAAUCCCCUGGGCCUGCACUGACGCUCAUGCACGAAAGCGUGGGGAGCAAACAGGAUUAGAAACCCGGGUAGUCC